CGGGGGAGGGGGGGUUUGGUUCAUAUUCUAUUGCUAGUGCUCCUUAUCCUAAGCCGAUUGGUGAUCACCAUUUAUAGAAAAAUAGUGUAUUUAAGGCAUAGGUUGCCCAAUACCUGUCCAAUAAGGCCCAUUCAGCUCCAUCCCAUCCUCCUUAUAGAUUUUAUGGAUUGUUGCACCGUGGAUUUUGUGAUAAGUAGAGGAAUAAGUAUUUUAAAUGCAGCUAGCUUGGCUACUUCCAGAGGAACUAUCCUUCAGGCGAUGUUUCUAUGGAGACUAAAAAGGUCCAGAUUGUUUCUUCUUCUGCUUUUGCACCCAAAAGUGCAACUUCUGGCUUUAGCACCUAUCAGAAUCAUCUAUAAGAUAUUAACGCUCAUUAGGAUUCCGAAUCAUCUCUUGAUGUUGUUACUAGUAUAAUAAAGCAACUUGAUCUAUGGUCUACUCUCUCUUAUUUGAACCCUAUGUGGCUAUUUAUUUUUGUUUUGGUCCUUUGUA
rnacentral:lncRNA from 1 species